AACGAACGCUGGCGGCAUGCCUAACACAUGCAAGUCGAACGAGACCUUCGGGUCUAGUGGCGCACGGGUGCGUAACGCGUGGGAACCUGCCCUUAGGUUCGGCAUAACUCCCCGAAAGGGGUGCUAAUACCGGAUAAUGUCUUCGGCCCAAAGAUUUAUCGCCUUUGGAUGGGCCCGCGUUGGAUUCGCUAGUUGGUAGGGUAAAAGCCUACCAAGGCGACGAUCCAUAGCUGGUCUGAGAGGAUGAUCAGCCACACUGGGACUGAGACACGGCCCAGACUCCUACGGGAGGCAGCAGUGGGGAAUAUUGGAAAAUGGGCGGAAGCCUGAUCCAGCAAUGCCGCGUGAGUGAUGAAGGCCUUAGGGUUGUAAAGCGCUUUUAUCCGGGAUGAUAAUGACAGUACCGGGAGAAUAAGCUCCGGCUAACUCCGUG
rnacentral:rRNA from 1 species